rnacentral:rRNA from 1 species
UGCCAGCAGCCGCGGUAAUACGGAGGGUGCAAGCGUUAUCCGGAUUCACUGGGUUUAAAGGGUACGUAGGCGGGCAUAUAAGUCAGUGGUGAAAUCCUGCGGCUCAACCGUAGCACUGCCAUUGAAACUGUAUGUCUUGAGUAUGAUCGAUGUAGGCGGAAUGUAGCAUGUAGCGGUGAAAUGCAUAGAUAUGCUACAGAACACCAAUAGCGAAGGCAGCUUACAAGAUCAUUACUGACGCUGAGGUACGAAAGCGUGGGUAGCGAACAGGAUUAGAUC